GUUUACGCUGACCGUGAACGAGAAGAGGGAGCCCGUCUUUGGAUGAUCUGGGAGAGAGCUUUCCAGGUGGAUGGAACAGCAAAGGCAAUGGCCAAGAGUUUCUUUCAGCACAGAUCCACUUUGCAUCUUCUGGAAUUUCACGCGAAUGGAAGCUUACGGAGCGUCCUCUUUGGCGUCUGCCUUCUUUUCCUCAGCAUCAAGCUCCACGCUCAGCAUCCGUGUUGAGUCUCCUGUCUUCUGCCAGCAUCCAUAAAACUGCGGUGGGCUCACUUGCUAGCUUGCAGAGCACUUGAGAGGACCGAUGACCUUCAGUUGAGGGACCCAGGCAGCCUGCGGCAAUGGUGCUCUCCUCCGUCCAUCUUGCUGAGGCUCCCAAUUGGCCUUGCCCAAUCAGAAGAUGGAGGCGUGUGUGUGGUGGCGAGAAGGCGGAGAAUGACAAGGCCUGAACUUGAACUUCAGUUCCCGCACUUACCAGCCACCACCACUCCGUCAGACAGCCGGUGUCUCACCGGGCCCCUCGCCGGUGCUGAGUAAGCAUUAAUUUCACCACGCCAGAAAGUUGAAUCUGAGAGCACAUCCUUUCAAUAGAGGUAACAGCAAGAGCAGGCUUGUGAGUAGGAGCAGUCAGUGAAGACUGAAACGCCCGGGUCGCUGCACAUGCCUGGGGCCGGGGAGCUGAGCAGCAGCCGAAGGCAGGGACACACACUCACUCCUGCGUCGCAGCUGCGGUAGCUGCAGCCUCAGCUGGGACGCAUCUGGCUGCAAAUCAACAGGCGAUUCCUGUGCCCACUGCCUUUUAUCCCCAUGGCUGUUCUACCUACAGCUCUGCGUUCGGGAAUGGAGCCAGAGCCGUCGGAAGGGAUGGGCAGG
rnacentral:lncRNA from 1 species